UACGUAGGGGGCGAGCGUUGUCCGGAGUUACUGGGCGUAAAGGGCAUGCAGGCGGUCGGACGCGUUUCGGGUGACAGCGGGUGGCUUAACUACCCGAGUGGUCGAAAGACGGUUUGACUUGAGGACGCGAGAGGGACACGGAAUUCCGGGUGGAGUGGUGAAAUGCGCAGAUAUCAGGAGGAACACCAAUGGCGAAGGCAGCUCGCUGGGACGUGACUGACGCUGAGACGCGAAAGCGUGGGGAGCAAACAGG
rnacentral:rRNA from 1 species